GCGCGAAAACUUUACAAUGCCGGCAACGGCGAUAAGGGGACCUCGAGUGCCAGGUUACAAAUCUGGCUGUCGAGAUGCCUAAAAAGCAUUUCAUAGCAAGGGCCGGGCAAGACCGGUGCCAGCCGCCGCGGUAACACCGGCGGCUCGAGUGGUAACCGUUAUUAUUGGGUCUAAAGGGUCUGUAGCCGGCCGGAUAAGUCUCUUGGGAAAUCUGGCAGCUUAACUGUCAGGCUUUCAGGAGAUACUGUUCGGCUCGAGGCCGGGAGAGGUGAGAGGUACUUCAGGGGUAGGGGUGAAAUCUUGUAAUCCUUGAAGGACCACCAGUGGCGAAGGCGUCUCACCAGAACGGACCUGACGGCAAGGGACGAAAGCUAGGGGCACGAACC
rnacentral:rRNA from 1 species